UAGUGGGAGGUCUUUGGUCAUUGGAAACACACUCCCUCAGGGAAUUGUUGGAUCUAGUUUUUUCCUUCUCUCUUUUGUUCCUCGCCAUGAAGCAAAUGGACUUCUUCCACUCCACAGGACCUCCAUGAUGUAUUACCUCAUCACAGGCCCAAUGCCAAUGGACCAACUGACCACAGACAGAAACCUCCAAAACUGAAUGACUCACUCUUAAUUGCAGAGAGAUCUGGGAACCACCGUCAAAAUAUGGCAUUAGCUAUAAGCAAGACUGAUGAACAGGAUCCUUAGUGUUGAGCUGGUCCUCUGCUACCUCCGCCUGUCUUUGAUCCCAGAAUCACCAGUCUUAACUUUCACCCCUCUCUCCAAGAGAUGUUCUCCCGGACAGAGUCAAAAUAAAAGGAUGUUUCAAGGUUAAAGCAUUUGUCCUUCUCAGUCAGCAUCCAGAUAAAGUAGAUUCCUACCCCAUACUAGUUCUCUCAGGAAGCUUCUGCUAUUGUUUCAUCUCUAUUCACGAGAACUUGAAGAAACAACUUCUAGAAGGAAGAUACCUUUCUUAGUGCUGCCUUCUUUCAGGCUCAAAGACUCAUUGGAAUGUAGCACAGAAUAAAUAACAUUUCUAAUACUGCAUCUGCGAGUGAGGGGAGGAAAAAGGGUUUUAUUUCAACAUGAAUUGUCAUGGAAGGAAAUGAAGCUUGGCAAAAACGUAUCUGCUAUGACAUUAUGACAAAGAAAAAAUAAGAAUACUAUUUUCCCAGGCUUUAUCAUGAUAAUUCUUCCACGAAUGUUAUUAUACUAAGAUCCCUGCAGAAAUGGCAUAAUUGGCCAAUAUAUUUGAAGUGUAGGUGGAAUAAUUUUUAUAGAAAUUAUUAUGGAUAAUGCUGUGAAAUAAUUUAGUUGCUGCCUUUCUUCUUUUAUUUCCUUCUUUCAAUGUGUCUCAGUUCAUGGCGAACUCUUUAAACCCUGUUCAACGGGGGAAAAUGAAUUUAAUAUGACUGGAAGUUUAGAAAUGAAAUAUACAAGAAAUGAGCAUUGAUUCCUCCAGGCAUGUAUUCUAUUAGUGUUUUUAUGGGAGUAAUAAUUAAAGUUUUUAAAAAACUUUAACAUUACUGCAUUUGAUCACCAUUUGCAUAUUUGGAAUGGUGAAUACAUUUGGAUAUUGCAAGACAUGUCUUAGAAACAUUGUUUGUGAAGGAUUAUUAUAUUAGAUUUCUAAUAGAAAACAAAAAUACUAUUAGGAUAACAAUCACGUCUUUUGGCAUUUGGUACUAAUAAUUUUGUGGUUUCAAUAGUUAAAUAAUACUGAUUUAAAAUACUGUAAAAAUGAAAUUCAUUUAUGCUUAUUAAUUUGGAGAAUAUCUACAAUAUACUCUUAAAAAACUUUUAAGAACAAAGGUCAAGUCACUGGAUAUGGUACAAUGGAAUUUUUGUAAAAGUUGCAUACACAUGCAUCUCCAGAGCUAAAUAAAUGUAUUUAUGAACAAGAUGUAUUUUCAUGUGCCUGGGUGAAAUGUCUUAAUGCAUUCCAGUUGGGUGUAUGAUUAAUGCUUCAAAUACUCCUUUUGGUUUUGUUACCAUUGCAUGUGAAACAUUUGCAAUUUUAAAAAAAGUGAUAAAGUAAUUAUAAACCACUACAAAAAAGACUAUAAAUAUAAAAGAGAGAAGUGGUGGAAAGAUCAAGUUCUCCCUGCUGUGUUUGAAGAGGUAUACAUGUUUUCUUUAUUUCUCAAAUGACAUUAUUAAAAUCAUUAUGGAUAAU